rnacentral:rRNA from 1 species
GUGUUUACUGUAACCUUAGUUGCUUCGGCGGGCCCGCCUUUAAGGCCGCCGGGGGGCAUCAGCCCCCGGGCCCGCGCCCGCCGGAGACACCACGAACUCUGUCUGAUCUAGUGAAGUCUGAGUUGAUUGUAUCGCAAUCAGUUAAAACUUUCAACAAUGGAUCUCUUGGUUCCGGCAUCGAUGAAGAACGCAGCGAAAUGCGAUAACUAGUGUGAAUUGCAGAAUUCCGUGAAUCAUCGAGUCUUUGAACGCACAUUGCGCCCCCUGGUAUUCCGGGGGGCAUGCCUGUCCGAGCGUCAUUGCUGCCCAUCAAGCACGGCUUGUGUGUUGGGUCGUCGUCCCCUCUUCGGGGGGGACGGGCCCCAAAGGCAGCGGCGGCACCGCGUCCGAUCCUCGAGCGUAUGGGGCUUUGUCACCCGCUCUGUAGGCCCGGCCGGCGCUUGCCGAACGCAAAACAACCAUUCUUUCCAGGUUGACCUCGGAUCAGGUAGGGAUACCCGCUGAACUUAAGCAUAUCAAUAAGCGGAGG